AUUAAUCUGUGGUUGUUAAAUGUCUAUGGUCUAUGCUUACACAAUUCCGCCAUUUGCAAUAUGCAAACUAAUAAUAAUAAUAAUUGAUUAAUAGUCAGACGAAACGAGAUUAAUACCACCAUGGCAGAUAAACAUUUUUUGUUAUUUACCACAGUGGAGAACUUCUUCAAAAAUGGUAUUAACCAGCUCCAAAGAGAUGAGAAUUCAUUCCAGAUUGGAAACGAGUCUAGUAUGAUUUUCGACAAUAAUGUGAAACUAGCUGUAUUGAAAGACAAAAUACUAUGAAGAAAAAGUUGGAGUGUUGAGGUUAAUAUUAAAAUUAAACGAAAUAAUUUAUAGAAGGAUUUAAGAAAUUCUAAAUUUGCCAUAAUUGCAUAGAUGAUAUUGAGGCUUCUUUAUCUGAAAGGAAAUAAAUAAAUUUCACUAGAUAAAAAAAUAUUAUCGGCUGAAAAAGAAAGCUGUGGGUAAGAUAUGGACUUGGAGUAUCUUAAAGCAUCUUACUAAAGCAUCUUACUAUGAUUUAAUAAAUGACAAAUUGAAAAUAAAUACUACUAAAUUUAAAACUCUUUUUCCUUGCAUAUUGGUUAGAUAAUCAUUUUCCUGAAAAUGGCUGCAUAUCCUUGAAUAUUGAGUAGGAACAAAAUCGGCUCUUCUCAAAGCCGAUAUCCAUUCAUCUCUCAAUGUGCCUGGAUUCGGAAAACUGUAAAUUCUAAUGUUUUUCAUCAGUUUUCGUUGCCUUAUAUGGAUAAUAAAACUUACUGGUGAAAUUUUAUGUUCAACCCUUUCUUACUUCUAACUGUACAGUUAUAUGCAACGCAACUUUGAGGCAUGAUGGAUGUUCUCAAAAGAACAAAAAAUUUGAAAGUCUUUCUUUCCCACAAAAUAAAUUUAGUAGCAAAAUUCCACUAAAAAAAGUCUCUUCUUCUCACUAGAUUCUCUCAAAAUAAAAGUACACUACCUUCGUAAGUAGCAAAAUUUGUAGAGCAAGUAUUCACAAUUCUUUCCUUUAAAUUCAAAUUUCAAAUAACGAUUUAACCUUCGAGUUGAAAGAGAGGUAUAUUGUUCUCUUUCUCUAAGGCAAUAAAUCAAGAGAGUUGACACGCAGCCCACCGUUGUUCCAUCUCAUUCGUUCUCUCGACUUCUCUCUCUAGCGCGACGUCCAAUGGUCUAUUAGGUCUAUGCACCUGUCAGAUGCAGAAAAAAUCUGCAACACGAAUUAUGCGAAUACAUGCCAACGAUUAGCACUUGAAAACAAACAAAAGAAGAUUUCUCAGAUACAUUAUUAUUUGCAAUAUCAAUUAUAUUAAAUAUUAUAAAUAAUCAUCAGUGCAUAAGAAAAUUAACUGAAAUGAACUUGGUGAAAAUUUGGUUUUUAUUUCUGGAAAAGCAAGAGGCGAUCAGAAUAUGAUUUCUACUCCUGUAAAUUAGUAGUGAGAUGGUGUCAAUUCGGCUCCUGGUUGUUAUGAGAGAGAAAGAGACCUAUAAUUUAUCCUGUUCCUGAGAUAAGGAAUAAAUGAAUGAUGUUGUUGUAUAAGGAACAAAAGUGUUGAUGAGCCUAGCCCAGGUGCUUUUCUAUGUAAUUGCAUUUUUUUGAUGGUAAAAAAAUUAAUCGACCAAAGUUAUUUGAAGACCCAGAAGCCAGAUGGUUAAAUUUUUGUAGCCCUGAAAACGAGAUCGAAAAAAUCUAUGGAAGUUGGGACAAAAAUUAUUUGGAAUUACUUCUUCUAUUCCUUAGACUUAGGAAAUAGGUCAGCUAAUGUAUUUGAAGCAGCCGAUCUAUUUUCUUUUUCUAUCACACUCAUUUUGUGAUGGGCGUAAAUUCAUAAGGCAGCUAUAUGGGGACAAACUGACAUUCUCCUGGGACAUGUGCACUUUUCCGUUAAAAUAGAUUCAUUGUCUUCAUCUAUUUCAACGUGAAAUAUAAAUAGAUGGAUUAAAUAAUAAUAAAUAUAAAUGAUACAA